UUUUGUUCCAGCUGGUCCAUCUCCCAUCCAAUGCAACUCCAGACCUGUAAUGACUCCAAAAGGACUAGGAAGACUCGAUAAAGACUUGAAAACCAAUUUAAAAGCAUAUAUACAAGAUGUAUAAAACACCAUAUAUCAACCACAUAUAGUUCCAUUAAUAGUAUAAAAUUUUCAAUGGUUUAGUUAUGUUUAAUAUAGGUUGUAAUGGAGAUUCCUCCAGCGUAUAACAAUAUUUUUCAUUUUUAUGUGAAUUGGAAACUAAAAACCUUAAUGUCAAUUAUUCAACUAUGAAACAUCAAUUUAAUCUUACAUUCUUAUAUAUGCAAUCAAUUAUUAAAAUUUGAUUUUACAUUCUUAUAUAUGAACUAAAUGAUUAAUCUUAUCAUUAAAAAUAUCAAAUGGAUCUAAACGGAUUGGAAUUAGUAAAAAUAAGACUGGUUUAAAUAGAACAUUUUUAUUUAUUUUACAGCUUCUAACAACGCAUAUGAUACUCUUUAUUGAAUUUUCACAAAUGUAAAAUAUCUUACGCUUUAAAUCGGAUAGUUUAGGUUGUUUGAAAAAAAUAUAGGAUAAAUGAUUAACUAUUAAUUAUUUCAAUAAAAAUAUUUGAGUCAUUAUUAUUUUUUGCAUAAUUUGGUUUAUAAAUAGUAUUUUUAGGAUAUUUAGUUAUUUAGAAAUUAAAUAUUUAUAGGUAUAUAAUUUGUAUUUUAAAAUUUUAAGUACUCAUUUGGUUCUCAUUUCGGUUUCUAUUUUUUGGUUCUAAAGAUAUAGGAUAUACUCGGUUAUUUAUGAGAUUCAGCUUAAUUUUGUUUUUUUCAGUUUGGUACGUUUCAGUGUAUCCGGAUAAAUAUACUCAAACCUAUAUAUUAUCUUAUAUAUAAAUUAUAUUAGAAGAAUUUAUUUAAUUUAAAAAUAAAUCAGCGUUUUUUAAGUGCAGAUCAAAAUCUAGUUGGAUAUUAUAUAGGAGUCAGGACUAUGGGUUUUGGGACAAAGAAAAUAAAUGAAGAAUUUCCUAUAGCCACCAUUAGUUACUACUUAAAAUCAAACUAAAUAAUUGGUUAAAUUAUUACAAAAUAAAGCAAAAGUAUAUAUAUAUAUAUAUAUAUAUACUAUCAUAUUGAUAUUUGGUAAAGAUAACGCGUAUAAAGCUAUGACACGAUAGUUGUUAUCCUAAGUUCCUAAUUUGCUUUUCAAAAUAUCAAAUUUAGCAAACUAAUUGACAUUCAUGAAAUUAAAAAUACUAUUAUUUUGGAGUCUUCUACCAAAUUCAUACUUACAAUUGAAAAGUCGGAACAAGAAUUCGACAAACCGACAAUUUAACCAGCAAUAGACACGUGUCUUUGCUAAUUCCUAAUACACUGAUAACGUUCAUGCACACGUAAGGCAAAUCUACCAAUCAUUAAAAGGAACAACGAGUCACCUGCAUAAGUAUAGUAAUUAAUAACAUAUGAUACUAAUCUUAGUACACACUCGUAUCAUAAUAAAAUACAUGCCCUCAAUGACCAGUGACCACGUAUAUUUGAAAAGUGAUUAAUAAUCUUCCAAGUCUGAAGUCGUCAAAUGCUUAUAGUAAAAUAUACAAUAGUUUCUGCUGAUUCAACUAUAUGCAUGCAGACAGUGGUGGCCUAGCAUCAUAUCAUAUCAUGCCUAAAGCAAAGAAAAAAUAAUUACUUUAUAGAUGCGUAAGCCAGGUUCAUACUCCGGUUCAUAAGUAUAUUGUAAACAUUUUUUGCCACUGUACUAGAGACAGUUUUGAAAAAUUUUGGCACUCUUAAAUAUAUGAUAAAAUUGACGCCUAAAAGGGAUAAAAUAAAUCAUCUAUAGAAAAUCACUAAUCAGAUAAAUUGGGGCUUUUUUUUUGUAAAAUGGCUUUCAUAGAUAAGUUAGAUUUUUUUAUAGCAUCUUCGCUUUAUUGAUUUCAAAUAGUAACAGAUUACAUAGAACAUAAAUUACAUAGAAGAUAAGUUUGGUUUAUAACCAAUAUUCUGUGCUAAUUUUUUUUUUUUUGAACUCAUUUUUGUCAUAAAAUUAACAGUUAUAGAAAAAUAUAAAACAAUUUAAGAACAACGGUUUAAGCAAAAAAAAAAAAACUUAAGACUAACGGUAGAUAAGUGGUUUUCAACAGAACAGAUAGUUCACAAUCUAUUUGACAGAUAGUUCACAUUUUUUUUUGUUGAUAAAAAAAAGGAUAAGCAAAGAUGCCCUUAUUAAAAAAAAAGACAAGCAAAAACUUAUAUUUACUUCAAUCAAAAAAGAAAAUAAAUUAUAUUUUGGGUAGCGUUUUCUCGGUUAUUAUUAUUCUAAACCUGGAAACUAAAAAAACUACCACUGAAAUACGGAUUAAGCAUCAUAGAGUUAAACUAGAAUUUGGAUUAAAUUUUCUUAUAAAGUAAUAAUACUAACAAACCUAAGACCCUGAUUAACUCAAGUCUCUUAACUGAAGUUCUUAGUUUCAGAUAAGGGAUGUUCUUAGCUUUUUUUAGUUAGCUAAAAACCGUUUUUUAAAUAAGAGAUAUAAGAGACAUAUUUUAACCGAAAAAUAUAAAAAAAAAUAUCAAAUCAUAAAUUAAGAAUUUCGGUUAAAAGACCACGGUUAAUCAUACCCUAAAGGAAAAAUAUAAAAUAAGAAAACAUGACACCAAAAGGGAAUCAAUCUGUGAAAAUAGAUUGAGUUUCCGAGAAAGUCACCGAUUUUCCGGAAAGUUAUCUCAUCACUAAAUGGUCCACCACCAUAAUUUCAGGGUCACCAAUCUUAUUAUGUUCAAUUUCAGGGUCACCAAUCUUAUUAUGUUCUUGGGUACACGCUCGUCAUCACAUAUGCAUUAUAAAAAUAAAUUACAAUCUAUAAUAAUUAUAUUAUGUCUAAUUCAUAAUUAUAAUAGCUAUAAAUUAAUAGUAAAAUGUUUUAAUAAUACAAGUAAUUUUAUAAAUUAAAUUAGUCACGGAUAAAAUCAAUUAUCUUUCUCUUAAAAUUGUUUAAUAAUAUUUAUCUUGUAACCAAAUAAAUAUUAUUCUAUUAAAUAGUACUCCUGAGAACAUACAUCCAUAUUACUUGUGGAUCGAUCUCAACCGCAUAUCCAUUUUGAUUUGGGGUGUCCUUUUACACACAGUCUAUGUAUAUUAAAUAAUUUUAUUAGAUGUUAAUCGUUAUCAAAAAUUCAAAAUCAGUUUUAUUAGGUAUACGGCACAUCUUGCACCACAUAUGACAUCUGAGAAUUAAACGGUUCGUUGCAAUGAUAUUAUUAAUUACUCCAUCUAGAUUUUAAAUAUUGAUAUUUUAGGAUUUACAUACAUGUUAAUAAAAUAAAUACAUAUUUUAAUUUAUUAGUUUUUGUUAAUUUUAUUGAUUCUGAAUAAAGUUAAUCACAUUUAUAGAUUUUAUUUAUGUUUUAGAUAUAAAAUAGAAUACAUUAAUUAAAUGUAAAAUAUCAAUCAUUUAUUUUUUUGAAACUGAUAUAUCAAUCAUUUAUAUAUAAAAGAAACUAAAACAUCAAUCUUUUGUAUAUAAAGAGGGUAUAAGUCUAUGACAAGAAAGAGAGAGUAUAAGUCUAUAAUUUACCUACUGUGUUCCAGCAAAAAAAAACUAUGCUUAGAUUUUGCAUUAAAACAGUUUUAAAAUACUCCAUAUUUAUUAUGCUUAGAUAAACUGCAUCCACGCUAGUGUUAUACAUUUACGCUUGAACACUGGUUAAGAUUCAUUAAUAUGAUACAUCAUGUGUUCUUUUUUUUUUUUGGCAGCUUACAUCAUGUGUUCACGAAUCGAGUAAUUACUUUCUGAAUAUUUCUCGCAGUCGUUUACGUAGAUAUAUUAAUAAAUACAUUUCGUCUUCAUAGAUAUGGUAAUAAAUACAUCUCGUUUUCAUGUUUUAAGUAAAUAAAAAGGAAUAUACGUGUAUAAUAAAUAUAGGUACCAUGAAGUAUGAAAAAUCAUAUAAUUAAUCCGCAAUGUAUUUAAUAACAUGGUCGCGAGAGGAAAAAACGAAGAGAAAAUCACGUGAAGCAUGCCCCACCUUACCCCUUAAAGACAGAGCAUCUCACCACUUCAAAUCUUCAAGAACAAUAUUUUAAAUAAUUCUUUUUUUGUCAACAAUAUUUUAAAUUAUUCACUUUCCCUACUUAUUUCUAGUUUUCCUUUCCCCCCUAAAACGUAUCCUUUAUAUACUAAAGCACAAGUCACCUAACUAAUCAGAAUAUGACAUGUGGCAAAAACAUUUAAAAAUAAAUAUUGAUACAAAAUUAUCUUUCUAAAAAUCACAUUCAAGUCCCGAGUUUUCAGUGACUCCAAAUACCUACAUUCCUAAAAAAAUUCCCAUUAUAAACACCACGUUCAAAAAUAUGAUCCGAUUUAAAACUGCCUCUAUACCUUCUUCAUCUCUCUUCUUCUGCAUUGCUUCUUAUUUUUCUUUUUUCUCUUUCAGAUAUUCGCCAGAUGCAAGAAAAUCCAUACAAGUCAUAUUCUUUUAUUAUUUGUUUCAGCUUGAAAAUGGCAUCUGAAGUCUACUCCUGUUUUAAAGCGUUGUCAGAAAUGUAGGGGGAAGAAAAAAAAAAUAAGCUUUAACAAGAAAGAAGUAUAUCAGGCCAAGAUACAAUCAAGCAAAAGAUAAACUCAAAUUACAGACAAAACGAAGGAGCAUUCUCUGAAAACAAUUGUAUCCUUACUUCUUUUCUAAAUAAUUCUCUCUUACUCUUUAAAAUUCUAUAUUAUGUUUUUGUAGCCUCGAAGGUGGUUAAGCAUUUUCAAAUUUAAAGAUGUGGAAAACAACAGCAGCAACAACCAAAAAAAAAUAACACUCAACCGAAGGAAAACAGGUAUCAACUAUCUACAACUAUGAUAAUGCAAAUAUAGUUUUUACAAAUUUGUUUGUUAUGGUUUGACAAUUUCACUAAUCUAUUUGUUAUGAACAGAGCAUUUUCGACUAUCUUAGGAAUUUUUAGAAAAAAAUUGUAUAUUUACGUACAUGAUUAAUAAUAUUUUUUAUUAUAUUAAUCUUAUCAGAACAGUCAUUAAAACAAUAAAAAUAAAAGUGAAUAGAUUAAGCAUGACUUUUUUAAUGCAAACAAAACUUGACCCGUGCUAAGCACGGGAUGGUAAUACUAGUCGAUGUAUAAUUCUUAUAUUUGGUAUUAAAAUUUUCUAUUCGAGUUUGAUAUUUUUUUUUAAUUUAUGGAUAAUAUUUGACUACAUAUGGCUCCUCUAGUUUGUCUAUGUUACCGUUUAAACUUUAUACUCUAUUCGUUUCGUAUUAAUUAUCGUUGUAAAAGAAAAUUACAUUACAAAAUAAGUAUUGUUUACUUUCAAUAUAAAAUUUAUUAAUUUUAUUCAGUAAUUUAUUAAUUUUAUUAGUUAAAAUAUGGUUAAAUGUAAAUAUAAUUAUGUUUUUAUAUAAAAAAUAUAUAAAAUUAAUUGUUUUUUUUAAUUUGUAUGUAUAAACUUAAAACGAUAAUUAAAAUAAAAUAGAGAGAAAGAAAGUAUAUAAUUUAUUAUUGUUAUUGUUGGUUGAAUAAAUAGUGUUAAGUUUAUGGAGAUGUAUCAUUUCAUUACACGUGAGCUAACCUCCUAACCCCACACCUUUUAUCUCCCUCACUUAUAAUCAUUCACACCCAUCAAAUGAUAAUUAAAAAUGUUGCUUUUGGAUAUUCUAAAAAUGAAAUCAUUUUCUGGAGCCAUAUAAAUGUGUAAUUUGAAAAUGUUUAGUUUAAAAUAAUAUUUCGAUUUAUGUUAUCAACAUAGUAAUGUUCUGAUUCAAUGGGGGGGGGGGGGGGGGGGGGGGGGGGGGGGAUUGUUGGCCUUUUUUACUACUACAUUUACAUUCUCUUUUCAUCUUAAUCACCACCUUUAACCUUCUCUAAAUUUUGACAUUCUCAAUCUUUUAUUCUUUUUACUUAUAAGUGUUUUAUUUCUUGGUGGGAAAUUUAUUUCAAUCAAUUAUAUAUCCAUUUUUGGGUUCUACGGUUGAAAACAAAACCAAGUUGGCACCAGUGUCUCAGUUAGAUGAAUGACCAGUAAAGAACAAUGGACCAUCGGAAACUUUGUAAUUAUUAAUCUCAGUGGAAACUUUUACAACUAUAUACACGAUCAUCGUGUUAAUAGAAUAAAUCUAAAAACUCAUUUCCAACCCACUUUAUUUUUCAGUUUAAAAUAUAAUUUAAAAUAAAAAUAUUAUAAUAAUAUUCUAUUUUUACUUUAUAACAAAGUAAAAAAUGGGAUUGUUCUCUCUAUAUAUUUUUGUUUAUCAAUCUAUUUUUACACUUUAAAAUAAAAUAUUAUUAAUGUAUAACUCAAUUUUAUUAUAGGAUUAUUGUAUUUUAGAGUGAAAAUAAAGCCAACAUAAUUAGAAAUAGUCUUUAAAAACUCUUUUAAAAAGAGCAAAGCGAUCUGUUUAAUAGUAAAGUCGUUGUAAGUGUGAACCUAAAUUCUAAUCCGGAACUAUCCAAGCUUAUGAUAGAAAAUAUAAUAAAUCAACAUUAUACUCGCAUGAGCAAACAAUCAAUUGUUAAGGAAGACGUAAUAAAUCAUUGCAAAGUUGUAAAAGAUUAAUAAAUAUAAUAUUCAUGUUUACUACAAGCAAAAUUACAUCGUAACUAAUAAUACAUUUAAAGAAAAGAACCAAAGAAGAUGGAUUAGUAAGUACUACUAAUAUUCUUCCUUUUCUCUACAAAUUGCAAACUAUAAUUACAAACUAUUUUUUUCUUCAUCAACCAACAAUCCCACCGAAAAAUAAAGUAGGAUCGUUGAAGAGUCUUAUCUAUAAAGACUACCCAUUUUCCCCAAUUUUUAACAUAUGACUUUUCCCCUGGGAAUUACCUACUAACUAAUUUCUAAAUGGAUAUAUAUAAAGAAAAAAA